rnacentral:rRNA from 1 species
GGGUGUUGGAAAGAUUUAUCGGUUUUGGAUGGACUCGCGGCCUAUCAGCUUGUUGGUGAGGUAAUGGCUCACCAAGGCGACGACGGGUAGCCGGCCUGAGAGGGUGACCGGCCACACUGGGACUGAGACACGGCCCAGACUCCUACGGGAGGCAGCAGUGGGGAAUAUUGCACAAUGGGCGCAAGCCUGAUGCAGCGACGCCGCGUGAGGGAUGACGGCCUUCGGGUUGUAAACCUCUUUCAGUAGGGAAGAAGCGAAAGUGACGGUACCUGCAGAAGAAGCACCGGCUAACUACGUGCCAGCAGCCGCGGUAAUACGUAGGGUGCGAGCGUUAUCCGGAAUUAUUGGGCGUAAAGAGCUCGUAGGCGGUUUGUCGCGUCUGUCGUGAAAGUCCGGGGCUUAACCCCGGAUCUGCGGUGGGUACGGGCAGACUAGAGUGCAGUAGGGGAGACUGGAAUUCCUGGUGUAGCGGUGGAAUGCGCAGAUAUCAGGAGGAACACCGAUGGCGAAGGCAGGUCUCUGGGCUGUAACUGACGCUGAGGAGCGAAAGCAUGGGGAGCGAACAGGAUUAGAUACCCUGGUAGUCCAUGC